GACGAACGCUGGCGGCGUGCCUAAUACAUGCAAGUCGAACGAGAGCGACCGGUGCUUGCACUGGUCAAUCUAGUGGCGAACGGGUGAGUAACACGUGGGUAACCUGCCCAUCAGAGGGGGAUAACAUCCGGAAACGGAUGCUAAAACCGCAUAGGUCUUCGAACCGCAUGGUUUGAAGAGGAAAAGAGGCGCAAGCUUCUGCUGAUGGAUGGACCCGCGGUGCAUUAGCUAGUUGGUGAGGUAACGGCACACCAAGGCCGUGAUGCAUAGCCGACCUGAGAGGGUGAUCGGCCACAUUGGGACUGAGACACGGCCCAAACUCCUACGGGAGGCAGCAGUAGGGAAUCUUCCGCAAUGGACGCAAGUCUGACGGAGCAACGCCGCGUGAGUGAAGAAGGUUUUCGGAUCGUAAAACUCUGUUGUUAGAGAAGAGCAAGUGCUAGAGUAACUGUUAGCGCCUUGACGGUAUCUAACCAGAAAGCCACGGCUAACUACGUG
rnacentral:rRNA from 1 species